rnacentral:tRNA from 1 species
GCCUCGGUAGCUCAGUGGCAGAGCAGCAGCCUCGUAAGCUGAAGGUCGCGAGUUCGAUCCUCGCCCGGGGCUCCA